rnacentral:rRNA from 1 species
GACGUAGGGUCCAAGCGUUGUCCGGAUUUACUGGGCGUAAAGCGCGUGUAGGCGGUCUGUUAAGUGCACAAGUGAAAGCUCCGGGCUCAACUCGGAAAUUGCUUUGCAUACUGGCAGGCUGGAGGGACGCAGAGGUCUGUGGAAUUCCUGGUGUAACGGUGAAAUGUGUUGAUAUCAGGAGGAACACCCAUGGCGAAGGCAGCAGACUGGGCGUUUCCUGACGCUGAGACGCGAAAGCGUGGGUAGCAAACAGG